rnacentral:rRNA from 1 species
CACGUAGGGCGCGAGCGUUGUCCGGAAUCAUUGGGCGUAAAGCGCGUGUAGGCGGUUCAGUAAGUCCGCUCUGAAAGCCCAGGGCUCAACCCUGGGAGGCGGGUGGAUACUACUGAACUAGAGUACGGAAGAGGAGAUUGGAAUUCCUGGUGUAGCGGUGAAAUGCGCAGAUAUCAGGAGGAACACCAACAGCGAAGGCAGAUCUCUGGGACGUAACUGACGCUGAGACGCGAAAGCGUGGGGAGCAAACAGG